rnacentral:rRNA from 1 species
AGCGAACGCUGGCGGCAGGCCUAACACAUGCAAGUCGAACGAACCCUUCGGGGUUAGUGGCGGACGGGUGAGUAACACGUGGGAACGUGCCUUUAGGUUCGGAAUAACUCAGGGAAACUUGUGCUAAUACCGAAUGUGCCCUUCGGGGGAAAGAUUUAUCGCCUUUAGAGCGGCCCGCGUCUGAUUAGCUAGUUGGUGAGGGAAUGGCGCACCAAGGCUACGAUCAGUGGCUGGUCUGAGAGGAGGACCAGCCACAUUGGGACCGAGACAGGGCCCAAACUCCUACGGGAGGCGGCAGAGGGGAAUCUGGCGCAAUGGGCGAGAGCCUGACGCAGCCAUGCCGCGUGGAUGAUGAAGGUCUUAGGAUUGUAAAAUCCUUUCACCGGUGAAGAUAAUGACUGUAGCCGGAGAAGAAGCCCCGGCUAACUUCGUGCCAGCCGCCGCGGUAAUAU